rfam:Methylomonas methanica MC09, complete genome.
CUGGACGGCUGGAAACGGCCGUUGAACCGUUUGGAGAAGUCAGCAAACGGCAUAGUAGGUGGCUGGCCGCUGCCGAAGGCC